rnacentral:pre_miRNA from 1 species
UCAGGUAUUGGUUAACGUCGCAUGGGAUAUACUCUUUCCUUCCACCCAUUAAAAAUAAUGAGUGGAAAGAGUUUAUCCCAUGCGACGUUAAUCAAUACCUGA